GCUGGGCCUGGUGGUGCACGCCUGUAAUCCCAGCACAUCUGGAGGCUGAGGCGGGAGGAUUGUGAGUUCAAAGGGAGCCUUAGCAACUCAGAGAGGCACUUAGCAAUGCAGCGAGACUCUGUCUUUA
rnacentral:sRNA from 1 species